rnacentral:rRNA from 1 species
CUACGGGGUGCUCAGUGGGGAAUAUUGCACAAUGGGCGCAAGCCUGAUGCAGCCAUGCCGCGUGUAUGAAGAAGGCCUUCGGGUUGUAAAGUACUUUCAGCGGGGAGGAAGGGAGUAAAGUUAAUACCUUUGCUCAUUGACGUUACCCGCAGAAGAAGCACCGGCUAACUCCGUGCCAGCAGCCGCGGUAAUACGGAGGGUGCAAGCGUUAAUCGGAAUUACUGGGCGUAAAGCGCACGCAGGCGGUUUGUUAAGUCAGAUGUGAAAUCCCCGGGCUCAACCUGGGAACUGCAUCUGAUACUGGCAAGCUAGAGUCUCGUAGAGGGGGGUAGAAUUCCAGGUGUAGCGGUGAAAUGCGUAGAGAUCUGGAAGAAUACCGGUGGCGAAGGCGGCCCCCUGGACGAAGACUGACGCUCAGGUGCGAAAGCGUGGGGAGCAAACAGGAUUAGAUACCCCUGUAGUC